UAAUACAGAGGUCUCAAGCGUUGUUCGGAUUCAUUGGGCGUAAAGGGUGCGUAGGUGGCGCCGUAAGUCAGGUGUGAAAUCUCGGGGCUCAACCCCGAAACUGCACUUGAUACUGCGGUGCUUGAGUACUGGAGAGGAGAUUGGAAUUUACGGUGUAGCAGUGAAAUGCGUAGAUAUCGUAAGGAAGACCAGUGGCGAAGGCGAAUCUCUGGACAGUUACUGACACUGAGGCACGAAGGCCAGGGGAGCAAACGGGA
rnacentral:rRNA from 1 species